AGCGUAGACGGAUGGACAAGUCUGAUGUGAAAGGCUGGGGCUCAACCCCGGGACUGCAUUGGAAACUGCCCGUCUUGAGUGCCGGAGAGGUAAGCGGAAUUCCUAGUGUAGCGGUGAAAUGCGUAGAUAUUAGGAGGAACACCAGUGGCGAAGGCGGCUUACUGGACGGUAACUGACGUUGAGGCUCGAAAGCGUGGGAGCAACA
rnacentral:rRNA from 1 species